ensembl:snRNA U4 U4 spliceosomal RNA
AGCUUUGCGCAGUGGCAGUAUCGUAGCCAAUGAGGUUUAUCCGAGGCGCGAUUAUUGCUAAUUGAAAACUUUUCUCAUAAGUCAGAAAGAACUGUAACACAUGAUUUAAGGAUCUCUUUUUAUGUUUUGAAUUCUGUGAGUUUAAAAUGUUUUUCCCAGA